rnacentral:rRNA from 1 species
GACGAACGCUGGCGGCACGCUUGACACAUGCAAGUCGAACGAGAGCCUCGAAGCUUGCUUCGAGGGGACAGUGGCGAACGGGUGAGUAACACGUGAGGAACCUGCCCCGAAGACCGGAAUAACACCGGGAAACCGGUGCUAAUACCGGAUGCCCUCACCGGACCGCAUGGUCUGGUGAGGAAAUGGAUUCCGCUUCGGGAUGGCCUCGCGGCCUAUCAGCUUGUUGGUGGGGUAAUGGCCUACCAAGGCUUCGACGGGUAGCUGGUCUGAGAGGAUGUCCAGCCACACUGGGACUGAGACACGGCCCAGACUCCUACGGGAGGCAGCAGUGGGGAAUCUUGCGCAAUGGACGAAAGUCUGACGCAGCGAUGCCGCGUGCGGGAUGAAGGCCCUCGGGUUGUAAACCGCUUUCAGCAGGGACGAAAUUGACGGUACCUGCAGAAGAAGCCCCGGCCAACUACGUGCCAGCAGCCGCAGUAAGAC